rnacentral:lncRNA from 10 species
AGACGAUUGAAUCAUGGGGGCGGUUUCUCCUAUACGGUUCUCCGGCUGGUGCAUAAGUCUCACGAGAUCUGAUGGUUUGAUAAGCAGAAACCCAUUUCGCUUGUCCCUCUUCUUUUUGCCUGCUGCCAUCCAUGUAAGACAGGACUUUCUCUUCCUUGCCUUCUGCCAUGAUUGUGAAACUUCCCCAACCACGUGGAAAUUGUUUAUUGCAUCCAGAGGUACUCUGAAUUUCGAUCCAGAAUGAAGGACGGGGACUUUUAGCAGCAUUUCUAAGAAAAACUAGAGUUGAAACAGAUCAUCUUUGCUUUCACACCUACAGCAGCCUUGGCCCCUUCGCUGAGGAAUCAUAAAGACUUCCUGUUUCACUUAUCUUACAUCGGGCUUCAGCUGUGAAGCUCAAAUAGUUGGGAGCUGCCUGUGACUGUAUCACUGGAACCACCUAUCUUGGGCCUGGGUUCUGGCUGUUGUCUAGUUUCCUUCAUUAUUUUCUACUUGGCCUCUCCAUGUGGCUAAAUUGAGCUUCCUCACACUAUGAAUAUUUCAAGAGAGAAUUUCCUGGGAGGAAGACAUGAUGUAAUCAACGGAGGUAGAAGCAAGCAGAGCCACGCUAAUAUUGAAUCUGGGAAGCCCGGACAGCUGGGAGUUAAUUUACAAUUAAUGUUUUACCUUGCUAAAUACAAGAAGGUGAAUCACGCACUCACCAAGGAUUGUUCCUAGGAGUUCAAGCUCAUAUGACUGAACCGAAUUCAAUCCUUAUCUGAAUAUUACUUAGGAUCCUAGCUAAGCAGCCAAAUCAAAUGCCCAGAUAAAGGUGGUUUAAAAGACAGAUGUUUAUUCCUUUUUCCCACAGUAUUUCAAUCCUAAGUAGUCCAGGUAGGACAUGGUAACACUAUUCAGCUCUCACUAUCACAAACACAUACUAACAAACACAUACUAACUGCCAAGAAGAUGAGAAAAAGACAAGGGAAGAUACAGCCAUCCUCCUUCAAGUCAUAAACUGAACAUUGAAUUUGUUCUAUCUAUUCAGAUACCACUGACCUGAACUUAUGUGGCCACACCUAUCUGCCAAUGAGAUUGGGAAAUGUCUUUAACUGGGUGGUCAUGCUAAACCCACCACAUUCUAGCUAAAAUUUAGGGGUUCUGUUACUAAAGGUGGAAAAAUUGAAGAAGAAUGUGUAGGUAUGGACAAUUAGCAGUAUCUUAUAUAGUCCACACUUCUUGUAUAUAUUUGCAGUUUUUUUCAUAGGUAGAACCACUCACUCCUCCCUAAAAGAGUCAAAAUUCUAUGUAGUUGUGACCUUCAGCUCAACACCCAAGGUCUUUGGCUUGUAUGAAGUACUUUUCUUUAGUUCUCCGUGUGUUCCUUCAUUAUCUUGCAACCCAUAAACUAAAAUGUAAGUGUUUUUGCUUCUCUCUCAACCCUCAUCACACUCCAUAUACAAUGGUGGAGAGAAGAGUGUGUGCACAGAAUAUCUGCAAUAAAAACUGCUUUUUGGAGAAGGUAGGAAUGGGAAAUACACAGUUGUUACGCUUCUUAACAACUUAUUAAAUCUUGCUGUGAAAAUAUUGUGAACAUUUGUAGUCUUGUCCAUGAAUUAAGUUGCUGGAUUAAUGUAUCUAGUAAUGGUUAGUUUGCUUUUGGGUUUGUUUUCUUUUAUGGUCGAGGACUUUUCCUCUUGGAGUUUCUCCCUUGUAUUUUAUCCUCCAUGGCCACUUCUGAAAUGGGCACUGAAAAGAAUUACCUUUUUGAGGGUUGUGCAGCUCUGGGUUGCUUUAAGUGUCAAACAGCCACAGGCUUUGAAGCUCAUGCUUGUGAUGCCUGGAACAGUAAAAUACUCUUAAUAAUCUGUUAGACCUCUUGUCUAGUUACUUUCAGUCAAUCAUUAUGUGCCAGAAACAAUAGCA